UCCCAGUUUAAUACUUAACAGUGUACCGAGACGAGGAAUAAGCAGCUUGUUUUGACCGUAGUGGUAGUGAUUAAUGCAUCACUUUUAACCAGCGCAAAACUCCAAGGAGAUCAUUAUAUCCUCAAUGGCUCAAAGGAAAUGCCUUGUUGAGGAGAGAGGUCAAUAGAGAAUGGCCAGACUGGUUCAAACUGACAAAGUCUACGGUAACUCAGAUAACCACUCUGUACAAUUGUGGUGAGAAGAAUAUAAUCUCAGAAUACUAUUCUGAGAUGCGGGUUGGCGCUGUUUUGGCCGCA